GUGCUUACUCUGGUACCAUGUAGACUAAAAUGGGACCUAUACAGAGAAGAUUAGCAUGGGCCCUGUGCAAGGGUGAUAUGCAAAUUUGUGAGGGCUUCUUUAUAUUU
ensembl:snRNA U6 U6 spliceosomal RNA